rnacentral:snoRNA from 1 species
GCAGCAGUUUCCCACAAAAAGUGCAGCUCCUGUUCCUUAUCAGAGGGUGGAGAGAACAAGGUGAUUGAGUUGCUGGAUUCAUGAAUAACAUCUGCGUGAUUAGGGCUUCCCCCCUUCCAUAACACCCUAAUCAUAUGUGAU